UACGUAGGUGGCAAGCGUUGUCCGGAAUUAUUGGGCGUAAAGCGCGCGCAGGCGGUCCUUUAAGUUUGAUGUGAAAUCCCUGGGCUUAACCUAGGAACUGCAUUGAAUACUGGGCAACUGGAGUACUGUAGAGGGUAGUGGAAUUUCCGGUGUAGCGGUGAAAUGCGUAGAGAUCGGAAGGAACACCAGUGGCGAAGGCGGCUACCUGGACAGAUACUGACACUGAGGCGCGAAAGCGUGGGGAUCAAACAGG
rnacentral:rRNA from 1 species